rnacentral:lncRNA from 1 species
GCUCAUUGAUUAUAUCAAUAACGACUUCGACAUCAGUGUGUACUGGAACACCUUGGAGUCCAAUGGCAUCAACAAGGAGCGCUUGCUGAGCUAUGACAGAGCCAUCCACUCGGAGCCGAGCUUCAGGCACGAUCAGAAGGAGGGCCUUCUGCGCGAUCUAGGACACUACAUGAGAACUCUCAAGGUAUGGCAGUCGCAUUCAUUGAUAAUAUUAUAUGAACGAUAAUACUCAGAAACAUGAGCCAUGCUGAUAAAAUAAAAUUAAAUAAAUAAAUUCUAUGCCAGGCAGUUCAUUCAGGAGCGGAUCUUGAGUCCUCCAUUGCAACUUGCAUGGGCUACAAGGCCGAGGUGAUGAUGAUGAUGGCUCUGUUCAGACCCUCUGUGUUUUUUUCUUUUUGUUAAAAAAAAAAAAUUGUCCGCUGAUGUUGGAGUUUCAUCCAGGGUCAAGGUUUCAUGGUCGGGGUCCAAGUAAAUCCUAUUGGAGGCUUGCCAUCAGGAUUUUCUGUAACUAUAUCUAACUUGAGAAUUCUUUUUGAACACUAGUACAAUUUCUCUGCGUUUCAAUUACUAAAAAUGGCUAGAAUUAUAUAAAAAUAUUUAUUGAACCCUUUUGGUAGGAUAUCCUUCGAUUCAUACUGGAGCAUGUUGAGGACAGGAAUGCGGAGCCUCUGCUGGAGGUGAGUGUGGUCAUGAUGGUUCAUGGCUAUGGCUUUUUGUUGCCGGUUUAGCCUAAUUUUUGAUGAUGCAGGGUUUGCUGGAGGCGAGAGCCGAGCUCCGGCCGCUUCUUCUCAAGUCCAACGACCGAUUGAAGGAUCUUCUGUUCUUGGAUCUCGCCCUGGACUCUACGGUCAGGACGGCCAUUGAGAGGGGAUAUGAGGAGCUGAGUAAUGCUAAAACAGAGGUAUUUAAUUCAUGUGAUUUAUCUCUCGUCAUGGGUGUUCAAUUGAUUGGAAAAUUGGAGGAACUGAGCCCAGUUCAUCCAUUUGUGCCGCAGAAAAUCAUGUACUACAUCACAUUAGCCGUGGAAAAUCUUGCCCUCUCAUCGGACAACAAUGAGGAUCUCAUUUACUGCUUGAAGGUAAUACCUAUGCCCACGAAAUGGAUAUUCUUCUGACUAGCUGACAUGCAAAAAAGCUACGUAACGUUCUACAUAGGAUGCAUAGUCUCAUAUUCUCUACACAUAUCUGCAUAAAUAGAGGGAGGGAGGGAGGGAGGGAGAGAGAGAGAGAGAGAGAGAGAGAGAGAGAGAGAGAGAGAGAGAGAGAGAGAUUUAUUCCCAUCUGAAUUCAUGAUUCUCAACUUCUAUAAAGGAUUUACACUCCCAUCUGAAUUGAGUCUGGCCAUGUCUUAUUAUUUAUUCCUUAGUUCAGAAAAUUGCGGCAUUUUCUUCACUAAAAUUAGAUGGGUCUGUAAGAAAAUGCUGUAAUGGCGAACAUAUAGUGUUUGUUCAUCAAAUUUUUUUUUUCAUAUUGCUAUUUCAAUCUUAUAAUGCAUGUUUUGGACGAAUAAAAUCUCUGGUCAGAUGGAAGGUGAAGGUUUUCCACCACAGACCAGAGAGUACGGGUAUUUUUUUGUUUCUUUGUAAUGACAGAAACCCUCUCUAGUUUCUCUUGAGAUGAUUCCUCUAAUUUUGGUAUGGUAUGCUUUUAUCAAUGCCUGUUCUAACAUUGUUGAUGCAAUUCAAGGGAUGGAAUCAUGCACUGGAGAUGUUAAAAAACAACACUGAUGAAUGGGCACUAUAUGCGAAAUCAUUUCUAGAUAGGACACGACUUGCUCUAGCAAACAAGGCCGAGCACUACCAGCAUAUUCUACAACCUACUGCAGAGUACCUCGGUUCCCUGCUCGGCGUCGAGGAGUGGGCUGUAUGCUCUUUCUAUUUUAAUUAUUCUCAUAAUUAGGCUCAUACCUGUCAUGAAACUUGCAGUCACACGGUUGCUCAAAUUUCAGGUGAAUAUAUUCACUGAAGAAAUUAUUCGCGCUGGAACGGCCGCUUCAUUGUCCACGCUGCUAAACCGGCUUGAUCCUGUUCUUCGGAAAGUGGCUCACCUGGGCAGGUUCAUAAAGACAUACAUCUCAAGUUUUUUCACCCCUAACACCCUCAUCUGCAGGUUAUUGAAAUAGGGGCGAUGGCACUGACCUGCUCUUAUCUGGCUGCCGCAGCUGGCAGGUCAUAAGCCCUGUGGAGGUCACCGGAUAUGUUGCUGUGGUGAAUGAGCUUCUGGCAGUCCAGAACAAGUCUUAUGAUCGACCCACUAUCCUGGUGGCAAAGAGCGUGAAGGGCGAGGA